UAGGGAAUCUUCGGCAAUGGACGAAAGUCUGACCGAGCAACGCCGCGUGAGUGAAGAAGGUUUUCGGAUCGUGAAACUCUGUUGUUAGAGAAGAACAAGGACGUUAGUAACUGAACGUCCCCUGACGGUAUCUAACCAGAAAGCCACGGCUAACUACGUGCCAGCAGCCGCGGUAAUACGUAGGUGGCAAGCGUUGUCCGGAUUUAUUGGGCAUAAAGCGAGCGCAGGCGGUUUCUUAAGUCUGAUGUGAAAGCCCCCGGCUCAACCGGGGAGGGUCAUUGGAAACUGGGAGACUUGAGUGCAGAAGAGGAGAGUGGAAUUCCAUGUGUAGCGGUGAAAUGCGUAGAUAUAUGGAGGAACACCAGUGGCGAAGGCGGCUCUCUGGUCUGUAACUGACGCUGAGGCUCGAAAGCGUGGGGAGCAAACAGG
rnacentral:rRNA from 1 species